rnacentral:hammerhead_ribozyme from 1 species
AUCCAACUGACGGGUCCCGAAUAGGACAAAACGCUCGUCCUGGAU